UGGAUACUAGUAGAUUAAGAUGCAUAUAUGUACAUAUGUUUAAUUCUGUUUGGUUGUAUGGAAUACACUUGUAACUUCAAUACAUAAUACGUCUCAAAGCCUUGUUAAAAAAUACAACUGCUUCAGAGACACUGUUGUUCUCCAACUAUAACUAUUCAUCAACCAUUCCAGAAUUCGUAUAUAACAAAUGGUCACAAUCCAACCGAGACGAAGAAACAUA
rnacentral:lncRNA from 1 species